CCUACGGGGGGCAGCAGUGAGGAAUAUUGGUCAAUGGGCGAGAGCCUGAACCAGCCAAGCCGCGUGAGGGAGUACUGCCUUAUGGGUUGUAAACCUCUUUUGUCGGGGAGCAAAAGCUGGACGUGUCCGGCUGUGAGAGUACCCGAAGAAAAAGCAUCGGCUAACUCCGUGCCAGCAGCCGCGGUAAUCCGGAGUAUGCCAGCGUUAUCCGGAUUUUUUGGGUUUUAAGGGUGCGCAGGCGGAUUGUUUAGUCAGCGGUUAAAUCGUGGGGCUCAACGCCAUCCAGCCUGUGAAACUGGGGAUCUAGAGUGUGCGAGAGGUAUGCGGAAUGCGGGGUGUAGCGGUGAAAUGCAUAGAGAUCACGCAGAACCCCGAUUGCGAAGGCAGCAUACCGGUGCACCACUGACGCUCAGGCACGAAAGCGUGGGUAUCGAACAGGAUUAGAUACCCGUGUAGUC
rnacentral:rRNA from 1 species